rnacentral:rRNA from 1 species
AUUGAACGCUGGCGGCAGGCUUAACACAUGCAAGUCGAGCGAGCGGCGGACGGGUGAGUAAUGUCUGGGAAACUGCCUGAUGGAGGGGGAUAACUACUGGAAACGGUAGCUAAUACCGCAUACCAUCAGAUGUGCCCAGAUGGGAUUAGCUAGUAGGUGGGGUAAUGGCUCACCUAGGCGACGAUCCCUAGCUGGUCUGAGAGGAUGACCAGCCACACUGGAACGGAGACACGGUCCAGACGCUGACGGGAGGCAGCAGUGGGGAAUAUGGCACAAUGGGCGCAAGCCUGAUGCAGCAAUGCCGCGUGUAGGAAGAAGGCCUGCGGGUUGUAAAGCACUUUCAGCGAGGAGGCGUUACUCGCAGAAGAAGCACCGGCUAACUCCGUGCCAGCCGCCGCGGUAAUUC